rnacentral:rRNA from 1 species
UACGUAGGGUGCGAGCGUUAAUCGGAAUUACUGGGCGUAAAGCGUGCGCAGGCGGUUCGCCAAGUCAGGUGUGAAAUCCCCGGGCUUAACCUGGGAAUUGCGCUUGAAACUAGCGGGCUUGAGUGUGGCAGAGGGGGGUGGAAUUCCACGUGUAGCAGUGAAAUGCGUAGAGAUGUGGAGGAACACCGAUGGCGAAGGCAGCCCCCUGGGUCAACACUGACGCUCAUGCACGAAAGCGUGGGGAGCGAACAGG